CUGGCCUGCUCGCCUCCCUACCUCUGAGGAAGCACAGUUCCCGCUCAGCCCAGUCAAAACUGUUCGCUGCUCUGGCACCCCAAUGGUGGAACAAGCUCCCUCACGACGCCAGGACAGCGGAGUCAAUCACCACCUUCCGGAGACACCUGAAACCCCACCUCUUCAAGGAAUACCUGGGAUAGGAUAAAGUAAUCCUUCUAACCCCCCCCUUAAAAGAUUUAGAUGCACUAUUGUAAAGUGGUUGUUCCACUGGAUAUUAUAAGGUGAAUGCACCAAUUUGUAAGUUGCUCUGGAUAAGAGCGUCUGCUAAAUGACUAAAAUGUAAAAUGUAAGAGAGGUCAGGAGAGGUGAAGAGAGGUCAGGAGGGGUGAGAGAGGUCAGGAGGGGUGAGAGAGGUCAGGGGGUGUGAAGAGAGUGGUCAGGAAAGAGUGGAAGGUUAAAGACUGGUGAGAUAGCGGAGAUCAGAGGAGAGAAGAGAGGAUGAGAGAUGUGAAUGUUGUCAGGGAAGUGGUGCGUUCAGCAUAGCUGUCAUUCAGCUGAAUUCUGGGUUCUGGCCCCGCUCAGGAAGGCAAGAGCUGGUGAAACAGACAAGCGCUGGGAGGCGUGGGAGGAAAGAGGUAGAGAGAGAGAGGAAAGGAGGGAGGUGGAGAGGAAGAGGGAGAGGGAGAGAGAGAGGAAAGGAAAGGAGGGAGAUGGAGAGGCAGAGGGAGAGGGAGAAAGAGAGAGGAAAAAAGGGAGAUGGAAAGAGAGAGGAAAGGAGGGAGAUGGAGAGAGAGAGGAACGGAGGGAGAUGGAGAUGCAGAGGGAGAGAGAGAGAGGAAAGGAGGGAGAUGGAGAUGCAGAGGGAGAGAGAGAGAGGAACGGAGGGAGAUGGAGAGAGAGAGGAACGGAGGGAGAUGCAGAGGGAGAGAGAGAGAGGAACGGAGGGAGAUGGAGAUGCAGAGGGAGAGAGAAAAUAGCUGAAGGUUAUCUGUGGCAUGAUUCAGCAAUUGGGCCUCGAGGUCCAAACUCAUCUGAGACUGUGGCUGUCUAUGGAGAUAGUGGAAGAUCACACACACACACACACACACACACACACACACACACACACAC
rnacentral:lncRNA from 1 species